CUAGACCACCUAGAGAGAACCACCUCAUGUUAGUGUAGAUAGAACCAGUAUAGAUCUAGACCACCUAGAGAGAACCACCUCAUGUUAGUGUAGAUAGAACCAGUAUAGAUCUAGACCACCUAGAGAGAACCACCUCAUGUUAGUGUAGAUAGAACCAGUAUAGAUCUAGACCACCUAGAGAGGAACCACCUCAUGUUAGUGUAGAUAGAACCAGUAUAGAUCUAGACCACCUAGAGAGAACCACCUCAUGUUAGUAUAGAUUGAACCAGUAUAGAUCUAGACCACCUAGAGAGGAACCAUCUCAUGUUAGUGUAGAUUGAACCAGUAUAGAUCUAGACCACCUAGAGAGAAACCACCUCAUGUUAGUGUAGAUAGAACCAGUAUAGAUCUACACAACCUAGAGAGAAACCACCUCAUGUUAGUGUAGAUAUAACCAGUAUAGAUCUAGACCACCUAGAGAGAAACCACCAGGUGUCCCAAAGUCUUAAAGAAACAAACCAACCAAUCAACUGACUGAGACCAUUUUACUAACUAGUCAGUUAUAGAAGCUAGGAGGGGUUUGAUGAUAAUGAAGACAGUGAGGUUUCAGAUUGUGUUGUAGGAGCAUUAUAGGUUGGUUGCUGUAACGUUGCAGGGUGGUUGUAGGAGGGUUUGGUCUGCGAGAGACUGUAAACGUCCUGAUCCUUUACAUUAUCAGGGUUAGAGGUCAGGCUAACACAACGUCCUUAACUCAUCCUUUUCAGGGUCAGGGGUUAAAGGUCAGGGAUUGAGCACAAUAAUCAGAAUAUUAAAUAUUUUUGUGUCUAAGGAGAUCAAAUGUUAAUUUGACUGAUUUAAAAAAUGCAGUGUCUUCAAACCCUUCUGACAGACAACACAGAAAGAUGUUUACCAACACACAAUUAUUACACACACUGGUUUAUACACUGAUUACAUGUAUUAAUGGUUUAUAAACUGUAUUAAUGGUUUAUAGCACACUAUAAUGGUUCAUAAACACUCUACGGCGGUAAGAACGCGUAAUACUCAUUUUUACUAUUGCACUCUAUUACAACCUACCAACUCUGAAAGAAAGAGAAAACCAAACCAACUGUAGACGUGAUAGAAGGUGCUGUCUGACUGGGCUUGGUGUACAUACUGUAACAUACAGUCUGGUUGAAGAUUUAUUAUCAUAUUAUAUUAUGACUCUGUCCUUUAUGAGAUCGCUCUGCUUGCUUGACUGAUGAACCUUGGGCUGUUCCCAAUGGGCCCCUAUUCACUAUGUAGUACACUACCCAUAGGGCUCUGGUCUAAAGUAGUGCACUAUAUAGGGCCCUGAUCUAAAGUAGUUCACUAUAUAGGGAAUAGGGUGCCAUUUGGGAUGUAUUUUGUGUUGUUUACUGUAGUGGACCCUAUAUAGCAGUGCACUACUUCAACCAGAGCUUUCUAUAAAUAGGGAACAGGGAGUCAUUGGGGAUGCGACCCGUGGUUUCACAUUAUCUUACUACUGGGUGUCCCAAUAGCUCCCUGUUCACUAUAUACUAGUGCACUAUGUAGGGAAUAGGGGACCCAACUAUGAGAUUAUUAUUACUGGUGUUCUGUUAAUAUAUUAAACGACUGAGUUGAUUUAUUUUGCAUGAGUUUGUAACAGUUUUUACAUUUUCAAAACUUUUCAAAAAUAUUAUGAAGUAUUAAAAAAAGAUGACGUGUCUAUUUUUCUGUUUUUUCUCUGCUGGUGUUUGAGUAUUAAAUGUUUAUUUAUGAAUAUUAUGAUUAUUCUAAUUUAAGACAUUUAUUGAUCUGUGGUUUGUUAUUUUAAUGCAGACCAAAUGGCACCCUAUUCCCUAUAUAGGGCACUACUUUAGAUCAGGACCCAUAGGGAUGUGGUUAAAAGUAGGGCACUACUUUAGAUCAGGACCCAUAGGGAGGUGGUUAAAAGUAGGGCACUACUUUAGAUCAGGUCCCAUAGGGAUGUGGUUAAAAGUAGGGCACUACUUUAGAUCAGGACCCAUAGGGAUGUGGUUAAAAGUAGGGCACUACUUUAGAUCAGGACCCAUAGGGAGGUGGUUAAAAGUAGGGCACUACUUUAGAUCAGGACCCAUAGGGAUGUGGUUAAAAGUAGGGCACUACUUUAGAUCAGGACCCAUAGGGAUGUGGUUAAAAGUAGGGCACUACUUUAGAUCAGGACCCAUAGGGAUGUGGUUAAAAGUAGGGCACCACUUUAGAUCAGGACCCAUAGGGAGGUGGUUAAAAGUAGGGCACUACUUUAGAUCAGGACCCAUAGGGAUGUGGUUAAAAGUAGGGCACUACUUUAGAUCAGGACCCAUAGGGAUGUGGUUAAAAGUAGGGCACUACUUUAGAUCAGGUCCCAUAGGGAUGUGGUUAAAAGAAGGGCACGAAAGGGAAAAGGGUGCCAUUUGGAAAGCAGUGUUUUGUUUCUACUUCCUGUCACUUUGUACAUUUGGGUUUCCUUGGCGACGUUCUUUUACGACUGCGAUUGUCACAAUGACAACACUUGUUUUAUCUAUUUCAUAAAAGAUAAACAUUGGAACUAAAUAAACUAUAAACCCUCAACAUGGGUGUCUGUCACUGUGUGUGUGUGUGUGUGUCUUUUAUCAAUAUAUAUGGCUCUAUUUCCUCUCAGAUUCUAAAAUGCUAAUUAACAUCAACAUCAAGGCAUCCCUGCAAGAAUACAAAUCCCUGCCAGCUCCUACAGGUCAUCACU
ensembl:lncRNA